UAUCCAAAUCCAAACGACCCAGUGCAAUAGAAAGAAGAGUAGAAGAGGAAGAAGGAUGAAUCAUAUUAAUAUCAAAUCCUAUCUCUUCUCCUAUUUCUUUUUCUUUUUCCUUUUCUU
rnacentral:ribozyme from 13 species